AAGCCUGAUGCAGCAACGCCGCGUGAACGAUGAAGGUGCUUCGGAUGCGUAAAGUUCUGUUGCAGGGGAAGAUAAUGACGGUACCCUGUGAGGAAGCCCCGGCUAACUACGUGCCAGCAGCCGCGGUAAUACGUAGGGGGCUAGCGUUAUCCGGAUUUACUGGGCGUAAAGGGUGCGUAGGUGGUCCUUCAAGUCGGUGGUUAAAGGCUACGGCUCAACCGUAGUAAGCCGCCGAAACUGGAGGACUUGAGUGCAGGAGAGGAAAGUGGAAUUCCCAGUGUAGCGGUGAAAUGCGUAGAUAUUGGGAGGAACACCAGUAGCGAAGGCGGCUUUCUGGACUGCAACUGACACUGAGGCACGAAAGCGUGGGUAGCAAACAGGAUUAGAUACCCUGGUAGUCCACGCUGUAAACGAUGAGUACUAGGUGUCGGGGGUUACCCCCCUCGGUGCCGCAGCUAACGCAUUAAGUACUCCGCCUGGGGAGUACGCACGCAAGUGUGAAACUCAAAGGAAUUGACGGGGACCCGCACAAGUAGCGGAGCAUGUGGUUGAAUUCGAAGCACGCGAAGAACC
rnacentral:rRNA from 1 species